CGAGUCGAUACUUCCAUACACCAAGCCACCAUCCUCGACAUAGAGGGAGAGAAGAGAGGGUUUCGCCGCGUCGUCGCUUCAAGCUUCCGUCGCCAUCCACAAUUAAGAAGGAGGGCCGAGGAAGAUGGCUAGAAGGAUUUGCCAGGGAGUGCGGAGUCGUGUGUAGGGCUUGAUCGAGUGCAAGGGACAUCCAGGGCAGAGGCGCACCUCGCCGGAGUCCAUGGUUUGUAGUCGAUCUGCGUCGAGUCGUGGAUGGGGCUCCCGUCUCUCUUAGCAAUGGUGAGCCAUCCCUCUAUUGUGUUCGCUUUUGUCUCUGCUCCCUGUUGUGUAUAGUAACCGUCAGACUAGAGCCCUAGAUCAUUGGUGGGCCGAGCGCCGAUGACAGCACCACUGAAGUUUACAUCGUCUGCUGUGUCCAAGCGUUGGAUGAAGAAGAAGCACGAUCAUCCAUUGAUUAUGUAGUGGACAACUCCGAUUAGAAGUCCUCGUACCCCUUCGGUGGGAGUGAAUCUGGGCCUUCGAUCAAGAUCCAGCGGCUCAGGGCUGAGCUCCUUAUGCAGCCAAGCCAAUUUCUUAAAAGAACCCAUAUCCUAUUUUGUUUUGCUUUGUAGUCAGGGCCGGUCCUGGAGGGGGGCAAGUGGAGCGGUCGCACCGGGCCUCCGGUUUUGGAAGGGCCCCAAGUAAUGUACAUGUAUAUAUAAUCUUAGAUGUUGUGUCUAGUAUGGCUGUUUCACUUGCCUCUUUUCACAGGACAGUUCUAACGUUGAGGUAAACAAUCUACUAUCUGAGUUGAAGGUUUUGAAGUUAAGUUUACCUGAAAUACCAAUAUCUUCUAUGGAGAUUUUUUAGUAUGUUUGGCAAAUGGAUCUGUAUCAAAAUAUUUCAAUCGCUUAUUGGAUAUUGUUUACUGUGCUUGUGACUGUGGCAUCGACUUAGAGAAGCUUUUCAAAGUUGAAAUUGUUGAAGAACUAUUAAGGUCAACAAUGUCUCAAGAUCGGCUCAACGGAUUGGCUACUUUAUGCAUUGAGAAAAAAUAUUAGACGAGGUUGAUAGCAACAAUAUUAUCAAUGACUUCGCAUUAAAAAACAUUAAAAGAAAUUUUUGAGAUAAUAUGUACAAAGAUUUGAAGUUGUUUUGAUAUAUUAUAGAUUUUUAUUAUUCAAAAAUUUGCUUAUGUACUUGGAAGAAAGUAUAUAUAUUAUAGACGUUUAUCAUUCAAAAAAUUUUGAGGGCCCUAAUUUUUUGUUUCGCCCCGGGUCCAAGAAACAUCAGGACCGGCCCUGUUUGUAGUCCACUUCUAUUCAAAAGAAAUUACCACAGAGUCCUAACAUCUAUACCUUAGGCCCUAGGUAGUAUGAAUAUAGCAUAUGACGUCCAUUAAUUCUAGAAUAAUAAUAAUAAAAUUAAAUCUAAAGUGAAUUUCUAUCAUAAAAAUAAAUCGAGAAAGUUUAGAAAAUCAAUAACUUGUCUGUUUUAACUCUAUUUUAGCUCAUUCAAAUUGCAUUAGCUUCAUAAUAAGAUUGCCUACGCAUUAACAACAUUAUUUGCAUCAUAUCACAUAUUUUUACAAAUGGAUAUAUGUUUAACCUAUGUCUAGUAGAUUAACUUCUCUAAAUCAAAGUUAAUCUGUUUAUAAUUAUAGUUUGGCUAAAAUAUGAUCUCUAAUCAAGUUAUAACUUGGAUCAAAGUUGAAAUAGUUAUUUCUUUAGAAUGUCUUUAUCAUAUGAUUUAUAUCAAUCAACAUACAACAUAGUUUAUGUUUAAUCACGUGCAUCUUUCGAAAAGUAUAUCUUUUCAACUGUAACUCUGGUUUAGUUGUUCUCGAAGCUACGAUCUCGUAGCGACGCAUAGAAUAUUAUUGCGUGGUUUGUUUCCAUAUUUGGUGUAAUGUUAUUCUUACCUAUUCUUUGUCUAUCUAUAUGUAUUACUGCGAUUAUAAGCAAGGUCACAAGAAAUUUGAAGCCCAACUUUUGGGGAAGAAUCUGGAUUACAAGGUUAUAACAAGUAUAAGGCAAGUUGUGUUUUUGAUCACUUUAUUUACCCUAGUAAUGAUCUUGAUAAUCAAUGUGGCAUGCUUAGGUUAAAUUGAUGGGACCUAACAGUUUACCUAGUUUUGUUACCCUACACCUUGCAUACAAAUAAAUUAUUGGGUAGUCUUGCUAUUGCUCUACCUGGUUUUGGGAUUAAUGCUACAUAUAGAUUAUGAUCAUGCUCUAUCGUCAAUGGGUUUUUAUUGUUCAUGAUAAAAUCAUUUUGUUAAUUGGAACAUGGAGCGACCAUCCGAGAAAAUAGUGCUACCACACGGGUGGUAUGGGAUGCCCUUGGCUAACUAAUUAGGAAACCUAGUGGAGGACUACCUUACCCGAAAGGGCAACCGCAAUAUGAGGAGCUGUCGAUAUAGGGAGGUUCUCGGGUCGAUCAUGCUACGAUGACUUUUCGGACGAUGGAUUCCUACAUCGCCUCCUUCUCAACGAAACUGUAGCAGGUUUUCUCAAGCUAGUGCAACUUUGUAAAGGCCUCGUAGUGUACCCUCGCCAACUCACCUUGGAAGUGUUUAAGGGUCUGUACAACCCCAGGCGAAAAGGGAACACGACUUGUGGGUCAAUAUGCGCAACCUCUGCCAAGUGUAAAACUGGUAUAUAGCCGUGCUCACAGUCAUGAGUGGCUCGGACCGUCACAUGAGUAAUUUAUGGAAUUAAACUUAACAUGUCAUUUGCAUUGCAUUGUGGGAUUUAUUCAUCACUAUGAUCAAUUAUUUAAUUGGGUUGGUAUAUACUUAUACUUAGUAUUUGCUAAUAAAAUUUUGACCAACUUAUUAAAAGCAAUGCUCAGCCUUAACCAUUUUUCCUUGGUAAGCCUUACACUACACAUGAGCCCCCACAGUAAGUGAGCUCACGCACAUUAUUACCCACACUUGUUGAGCAAUGACCAUAUGAGAGCUCACCCUUGCUAUAAUCACACCAGGUCAAGAACAAGUACCGCAAGAUGAGGAGCAUACAAUAUGCUACUAUGAGUUCGGAGAGGUCUAGGUCGUCGUAUCCCAGUCAACUAUGAUGGUGGAGGAUCAUUGUCAUCAUAUGAUGUAUUUUACUUAGCUAUUUUUACUAAAUUCUAUUAUAUAAUAAAGAUGUGACAUUGAUUUAUGUACCAUGAGUCAUAAUAUGUGUGAGACUUGAUCCUAGCACACAUUUAAGAUGCACCCAGGUUUGCCCUUAAAUUUAGGUGUGACAAAGGCUCAUGAUUGUGUUGGUUUGUUAUUUUUCAAAUCUUGUUAGACUUUCUAGUAUUAUAAGCCACACCUAGUCCUAGUUACUAGACUGGCUAGCUCUAAACCUCUAGCUAAGGAGGAGUUUCAGUGUUCAAACUCCACUUGAAUAUUGUUAUAACACGCCAUCCUAUUCACAAAACUAUGGUUGGUAGCCCCUCUUGGUGACAGCAAGAGUGUGGUAUGUGUAUCCUGACCCCGUCAUCUGGUAGGCCCAUAGGGGAUAGCUUGAUUUUUGUUUGGUGUGCCAUCUAUCACCCCCUAGGCACCCUCGAGACCUCAUAAUCUCACUCAAAGCAAGACCCUACCUUGUGUUUGUUUAUCAAUAUGUUAACUAUGAAUAAUCCUUUGCCGAGUAGUAGGAAUAUAGUUCAAAUAUCUAUCUCGCUCGUUGUUUUCCCAAGAAACUUUAUCUAGUUACUGCCCUAGGUUCCCAAUUUAUUUCUUCCGCAUAUACCUAGUUUUGCUACUCUUGGAUUGCACUUACCCCCAUCUAAAUACUAGUGUGUAUAUUUUUCAAGUUUACACUUCAUUUCAAGUUUGAGUUAGUAAGUUCAACUCUAGCCUACCACUUCCAUGUGGAGAUUAUGAUACAUAGAAUACAUCUAGUGAAAGGUUAUAUCGGUCUUUGUGCGCUUGCAAAGUAAACUCAAAUUGGCAUAAGAACCACCAAUACUUGCACACCACAAGCCAAGAGACAUGUUGAACAAACACACCUACACCUCGGUUAGUCCACAUGACUCAACCCAAGAUGCUACACUUGAUGUCAAUCACUCAUCACAGCCCAAAAUACAAGGGUACAUAUCAAACUUGUGUUCACAUCAAUGUUUAGAGAGAUUGCUCAAUAAUUAUCUUAAUGUGUGUCUUGAUAUUAUCGUUACUUUUAUCGAAUUUUGAAUUCAACGUAUUCAAAUGCAUGAGAAUUAUAAGGUUAGCAUGUUGAAUCAACAAACAUAUGCCUUUUAUGUUGGUGAACAUAACUAUUCUAUCAAAGAGAGAGCUAAUGCAAAUGUUUUCAUUUGACUCUGAUUGGUCAAAGUUGGUUAGGAUGACUUUGGAAGUUAACUAUGCCAACUUUCCUGUCUUUCAUGUAGGUGUGCCCAACUUAGCUAGGCUAGCCCCUAACGGCUAUUAGGCUAGCUUUCCUAACCUGGUUGAGCCGGCUCUAUAAGUUGGCUGGGAUGACUUUCUUAAUGAAGGUCCAAAUCAACCUAUUUUUUAUUCUAAUGAUGUUGAAAUUGAUUUGGAUGAUUGGAGAGCUCCCGUAGUAAAAUAUUUAUGUGAUCCAAGUUGUAAAGUUAAAAAGAUUCUUUGACAAAGUGCAUUCAAGAUUGUGUUUUACAAUGAUGGGUUAUAUAGGACCGACAAAGACUUGUUAUUAAAACAUUUGUGAUUCGAUCAAGCAAAUGAGCUAUGGGAGAAGUUCAUUAAGAUAUUUGUGGCAUGCAUCAAUUAGCUCUGAAGAUGAAGUGGUUGUUGUGUAGAGAUGAUUUUUAUUAGCUUACUAUGAUGGCCUAUUGUUUUGUUACUAAGGUUGUCAAGAGUGUCACUUAAUUGGAAAUAUUCAGCUUGUGCUUUAUGCUAUGCUUCAUUAUGUUAUCAAACCAUGGCCUUUUGUGGUUGGGAACUAGACUCCAUUGUCCAUAUUCAUACCCCAUCAUCAAAGGGACAUUGCAUUGUCUUGGCUACUGCGAAUUACUUCACUAAAUGGAUUGAAGUUGUUGCCUUGAAGAAUGUGAACACAAGGAGGUAAUUGUGUUCAUUACUAAGCAUACAUACAUACAUUCAACAUUCCUCAAAACAUUAACUAUGGAUCUAGGGACAUCAUUUGUGUCAAAAGAGGUAUGUGAUUUUACCAAAUUAUAUGAGAUCAAUUUUCUCAAUCCACCACCAUACUAUGGUCAAGCUAAUGGCCAAGGUGAUUCUAGUAAUAAGAGUUGUAUCAAGAUUAUCAAAAACAAGCUUGAGGAUAACCUAAGGAGGUGGCACGAGGUUUUGUCUAAAGAUCUUGGGCACGUCGUGUAUCUAGACAUGGUGUUAUUAAUGUUACUUCUUUUGAGUUGGUGUAUGAGCAAGAGUUUGUGUUACUCGUCGAGGUGAAUCUAGAUGCAUAUAGGCUUGCAAAACAAAAUGACUUAUUUAUUGUUAUGUAUAAUGACUUGAUGAUGACAAUAUCAAUGAGGUGAUAGGCAGGAGAUUAAUGGACCACAAGGAUAUGGAUAAAGACAAAGCUUGAGUUGCCCGAGCAUACAAUAAUAAAGCCAAAAUAAUAUUGUUCCAGUUAGAGAUCUAGUGUGGAAAACUAUAGUACCAAUUGGUGUGAAGAGCAAAAAAAUGAAGUUGGGAGGGUCCUUAUAAAGUGAUGAGAGAAAUAUUCAAAAACACAUAUAUGUUAGAGGUGUUGCAAGGUGAUAGUCUCUCCAGAACGAUCACCAGAAUGUACUUGAAAAGGUAUUUUCCAAGUGUUUGGCAAGAAGUCUAUAUUGCUUUGCAAAUAAUGGUAGGUACUGGUAUUGCUCUUAACAAAUAUUUCCAAUGUAUACAUGCCCUUAGAUGCUGGAUAGGCAAUGAGUUGGACAUCAUCACAAUUUAGUGCUUUUAUGUUUCCAGGUUCAUGCAUUAUUCACGUAAAAAUAGGGCCACAUGUCGACACUAGAAUGUUCAGUAUGGGAAUUAAUAAUGUAAGGAAAAUGGAUUGAGGCCCAUUGGUAAUUCAGUUUUUGUUGCUUGAUGCUCAACAAAACCAUUUGGACUAACAUUAUUUGCUAGUGUUUGUAGAUAUAGUUCAAAGGAUGCAACAUGGACUCGGACAAAGCCAAAAAGUUAAUCUGGAAGAUCAACACCUUAAGAAAGAAAUUGGAAGACUCACUAGAGAUCUACACGAUCAUGCAAGAUUCUGAGGCACAAGAUGGGAGAAUCUCGAACAAAGACACAUGAAAAAAUGAAGAAAAAUAGAGCACUUAGCAACACCAGACGUGACUAGAGAAGCACUAGAUAAAAUACCAAACAAGAGUGUUCAUAUACUAAAGAGGGUCUACUGAGAAAGAGUACAAUGGAAACACUAGUAUGCACUAAACAUCACACUAGAUGUGGCAUUGGAUAGAGUACUCAGAGAGGUCUGCAAUGUGUUUGAUGAGAUCCAUAAGGUAUCGGAUGUCUCUAGCAUGACACUAGAUGCCCUAUUGAAUGGGGGCAUUUAGAGAGGUUGCACAACAACUCGAGAAGAGCUCUAAAGCACCAGAUGUGUCUGGUUCAACGUCGAUCAAAGCAUCAGAUGUCUAUGCUCAGAAGGCUAGCAAUAACUAGUUUCAAUGGGUUGCUAAUGUGGACAUGCACUGAUGUAUAUGGUAUGCGCCAGUUUGCAUCACUUCUAAUGUCUAGUUUUGAACUUAGGGGUUAUGUGUAUUACCCCCAACUGACCAUUUGAGAUCUGUGGGAGCUAAGGAAUAUCACAAGAGAGUUGAGGCUCAUCCGUAGUAAAUCUAGACACCCAAGUGCUCAAAAACCACUUAGUCAUUAGCAUAUGUACUUUGUAAAGUGCUUAGGUUAGCUAGAAUGUUUUAUAAAGCGCUUGUUCUAGGUUUUCCCUAGUAUUAGAAGUGAGAAAUAGACACCUAUACCCCAUGGCGCUUGCACACAUCAUUGUAUUGAGUUGUACCGGCAAAGGCUUGUAGUCUUGCAAGAUCACGUCAACUAUCUUUAUGGUGUAGCCACCAUCAUGUACUAUAGAGAAUGAGGUUUGUCGUGUUUUGCCUAAAAAUAUGACAGUGAAGAUGGCAUGGAGCAUUUGAGAG
rnacentral:lncRNA from 1 species